rnacentral:rRNA from 1 species
ACGGGAGGCAGCAGUGGGGAAUAUUGGACAAUGGGGGAAACCCUGAUCCAGCGACGCCGCGUGAGUGAAGAAGUAUUUCGGUAUGUAAAGCUCUAUCAGCAGGGAAGAAAAUGACGGUACCUGACUAAGAAGCCCCGGCUAACUACGUGCCAGCAGCCGCGGUAAUACGUAGGGGGCAAGCGUUAUCCGGAUUUACUGGGUGUAAAGGGAGCGUAGACGGCAAAGCAAGUCUGAUGUGAAAUGUUGGGGCUCAACCCCGAAACUGCAUUGGAAACUGUUUAGCUGGAGUGCAGGAGAGGUAAGUGGAAUUCCUAGUGUAGCGGUGAAAUGCGUAGAUAUUAGGAGGAACACCGGUGGCGAAGGCGGCUUACUGGACUGUAACUGACGUUGAGGCUCGAAAGCGUGGGGAGCAAACAGGAUUAGAUACCCUGGUA